rnacentral:rRNA from 1 species
UACGAAGGGGGCGAGCGUUGUUCGGAUUUACUGGGCGUAAAGGGCGCGCAGGCGGCGCAUUUUGUCAGGCGUGAAAGCCCCGGGCUUAACCUGGGAACUGCGUUUGAUACGGAUGGGCUAGAGUUCGGGAGAGGAGAGUGGAAUUCCCAGUGUAGAGGUGAAAUUCGUAGAUAUCGGGAGGAACACCAGUGGCGAAGGCGACUACCUGGCCUGUUCUUGACGCUGAGGCGCGAAAGCUAGGGGAGCAAACGGG